UACGGGGGGAGCAAGCGUUGUUCGGAUUUACUGGGCGUAAGGGCGCGUAGGCGGCGUGACAAGUCACUUGUGAAAUCUCCGGGCUUAACUCGGAAACGGUCAAGUGAUACUGUCGUGCUAGAGUACAGAAGGGGCAACUGGAAUUCUCGGUGUAGCGGUGAAAUGCGUAGAUAUCGAGAGGAACACCUGCGGCGAAGGCGGGUUGCUGGGCUGAUACUGACGCUGAGGCGCGAAAGCUAGGGGAGCGAACGGG
rnacentral:rRNA from 1 species